GCCGGAGGCGGUGCGUGGGGUGGACGCAGGUGUCCGCGGGGGUGGCGCGGGGGGACGGGGUGCGGAGGCGGCGGGCGUGAAGUGACCGUGUGUAAGGAGUGGGGCGAGCGCGAGGGUGUGUGCGUCGGGGCGGGGAGCAACUCAUACUUACCUGGCAGGGGAGAUACCAUGAUCACGAAGGUGGUUUUCCCAGGGCGAGGCUUAUCCAUUGCACUCCGGAUGUGCUGACCCCUGCGAUUUCCCCAAAUGUGGGAAACUCGACUGCAUAAUUUGUGGUAGUGGGGGACUGCGUUCGCGCUUUCCCCUGGCUUUUCUCGGUAGAAAGAAAGAGAUGCUCGGCUCGUUUCGCGCUUUCCAUCGCCUGCCCACGGUUCUCUCUCACCGGGCUCUGUACGUUUUUGUCGUUCAGUAGCCUCAGUCGCGGCAAGGCGUGAGCUUGGCCACACGGCAGCGCUUCCUCUCGCCGUUCUUCCGAGUAGCUAAGUUGAGGGCUGUGCUGUGCUGCUGUGCUGUGCUGUGCUGUGCUGUGCUGUUCUGCCAACGAGGAGUCCUCUGGAGACCUCGGUACGUCGAGCUUGAGGGCUUUCGAGCGAAUGCUCGAGAGUUGCGAGAGGUACGCGGGGUGGCCGUCGAAGGCGGGCGCGGGCGGUCACGCCUACUCCAGAGAAGGUAGUUCCUGCGCCGCAUCCGACAGCCAAGCCGGCCGGGUAGCGCGUUGCUGGGGAAGAAUCGGGAGUCCCUUGGUACGGAGUGGCUUUAGGAGGACCCGUGGGCCUGAGCCCCUCCACCGGAGGCCGCCGUAGAGUUCAUCUCUACCGAGCUUUCCGGGAAGGUCUGGCACUGUCCUUCUCCUCACUCCCAAGUACGUAUAUAUACGUGUGGAUACGUGUGGAGGCCGCGUAGGCCCGUCGCAUGGACGGGAGACCGGGCGAGACCAGCCGGCCGUCUCAAAAAGACCUUCCAGGGACGCCCGGGUGGCUCAGCGCUUGAGCGCCUGCCUUCGGCCCAGGGCGCGAUCCUGGCCCCUGCCUGGAGCCUGCUUCGGUCUCCGCCUGUGUGUCUGCCUCUCGGGGUCUCUCCUGAAUGAAUAGCACAGCGCGUAUACUGUGUCUCAUGAAUAAGUAAAUAAAAAUCUUUUUAAAAGAAUACGUGGGGGAUAGAUCCCAGGGUACGAAUUGCAUGCCUCGCCUGUCAAAAAGCCUAAAGUGUAUUGUAUCAUCACGGGUUGUGCUGUAACUUUGCCAUUACUAUCUUUGCAGCAAUUAGUAGUUAUAUUGACUCAAACCAGUACCGUUGUGAAGGUGAGAGGAAAAACUCACCAAUGCGUUUACUUAUUCCUAAGGUGUUUAUAGUUAACGGGGAUUCCUUUCUUUUAUUCAAACCCCUCCAAUCAAGUCGGUUUACAAAACAUUUUUGGAUCAAAUGUAGGGCUGGAGUAUCUCUGAUACAUACUAGUUUUACUUUAGUAUUAAAAAAAAAAAAAAGGUUAUCAAGGAAGAUGGCCCACAUGUAAUCUACCAGUAAUCACUAAUAAUUGAAGUGUUGAAGUUAAAUCUGACCAUACCUAUAUACUGUGUGGAGGCCGAGAAAAUCAAGGCCAUUCCACCUCAAGUUUAGCGUUAGCACAAGUACAGCCAUCUCAGGCCCC
rnacentral:lncRNA from 1 species